CACAACCCUGAGAUCAUGACCUAAGCUGAAAUCAAGAAGUCAGACUCAACGGACUGAGCCACCCAGGCGCCGGGCCCCUGAUUCUUAGGGGCAGAAAGCAGAUCGGUACUUGCUUAGACACAAGGUUUCAGGAGGAGGAACCUGUAAAAAUAAUGUGACCAGCUAAUAUAUCCUCAUGCCAGAUACUGAAUCGGAUGCAACCUAGGUGUGGGGAGGGACCAAUUUCACCCGUUAUGGAGAGACAGGCACUGUGAUACAGUGACGAACAGGCCGGUGGGGUAUUCGGUUGGGUCCGCUGGACAAAGUGAUGAUUCACAUCCUGGGCAAGACCGAGCAGUGGGACAUGCGAGAUUCCAUCACACUACUCAGAACGGCAUACUCCUGUGAGCCCCUGUGCUGGGCCAGAUCCAGCUCUACUCUUCUCCACUCUGCUUGGUGCCUAGAAGGAGGGAUGGAG